rnacentral:rRNA from 1 species
UACGUAGGGUGCAAGCGUUGUCCGGAAUUAUUGGGCGUAAAGAGCUCGUAGGCGGUCUGUCGCGUCGGCUGUGAAAACCCGGGGCUCAACCCCGGGCCUGCAGUCGAUACGGGCAGACUAGAGUGCGGUAGGGGAGACUGGAAUUCCUAGUGUAGCGGUGAAAUGCGCAGAUAUCAGGAGGAACACCGGUGGCGAAGGCGGGUCUCUGGGCCGUAACUGACGCUGAGGAGCGAAAGCGUGGGGAGCGAACAGG